ensembl:lncRNA novel transcript
CGAUGGGGUCAUGGCGCCCCGAACCCUCCUCCUGCUGCUCUCGGGGACCCUGGCCCUGGCCGAGACCUGGGCGGACCCCCCCCAAGACACACGUGACCCACCCCCCUCUCUGAACAUGAGGCAUAACGAGGUCCUGGGUUCUGGGCUUCUACCCUGCGGAGAUCACAUUGACCUGGCAGCGGGAUGGGGAGGACCAGACCCAGGACAUGGAGCUCGUGGAGACCAGGCCCACAGGGGAUGGAACCUUCCAGAAGUGGGCGGUUGUGGUAGUGCCUUCUGGAGAGGAACAGAGAUACACAUGCCAUGUGCAGCACAAGGGGCUGCCCAAGCCCCUCAUCCUGAGAUGGGUCACACAUUUCUGGAAACUUCUCGAGGUUCCAAGACUAGGAGGUUCCUCUAGGACCUCAUGGCCCUGCUACCUUCCUGGCCUCUCACAGGACGUUUUCUUCCCGCAGAUAGAAAAGGAGGGAGCUACUCUCAGGCUGCAAGCAGCCAAAGUGCCCAGGGCUCUGAUGUGUCUCUCACGGCUUGUAAAGUGUGAGACAGCUGCCUUGUGUGGGACUGAGAGGCAAGAUUUGUUCAUGCCUUCCCUUUGUGACUUCAAGAACCCUGACUUCUCUUUCUGCAAAGGCAUCUGAAUGUGUCUGUGUCCCUAUAGGCAUAAUGUGAGGUGGUGGGGAGACCAGCCCACACCCGUGUCCACCAUGACCCUGUUCCCCACACUGACCUACAUUCCUUCCCCGAUCACCUUUCCUGUUCCAGAGAAGUGGUGCUGGGAUGUCUCCAUCUCUGUCUCAACUUCAUGGUGCACUGAGCUGUAACUUCUUACUUCCCUAUUAAAAUUAGAAUCUGAGUAUAAAUUUACUUUUUUCAAAUUAUUUCCAUGACGGGUUGAUGGGUUAAUUAAAGGAGAAGAUUCCUAAAAUUUGAGAGACAAAAUAAAUGGAAGACAUGAGAA